rnacentral:lncRNA from 1 species
AGCAGCAGCUGGACGAGGUCCGGCCGGCCCUGCGCGAUGGCUGAGUGCAGCAGGCAGAUGCCGGAUGCGUCGACGGCGUCGGCCGGGCGCCACUCCGGGUCGCUCCGCUCCAGCACGGCGCGGGCGGCGUCCAUGGAAAAGAAAGAAAAAAGAACGAGAAAAAAAAAAGAGGAGAGAGAAAGAGGAAAGAGAAAAAUGUAUAAGGGUAUUUUGGUCAGUUUGCUGAAAAAACGGACCGAAUCUGCAAAAACGAAAAAGAUGGCCCGAUUUUGCAAAAGCCCAAAAUAAGUGAAUUUUUUAUGCAAAAAGGGAAAUCAAAGUGUUUUUUUUUUAUCCUGUUUCUUUAUUUAUUUUGCUAUAAUUUUUUUAUUAAAAUUAUAUUUAUGUUUGUUAAAAUAUUAAAUUUUAUUAAACAAAAUAUGUGUAUACAAAGCUUGAACAAAAGUUUAAAGUGUAUCAAGAUAGCUCCUGUGGUUUUACACUUUCUCACUUUAGUACCUUGUGGUUUAAAGUGUAUCAAGUUAGUACCCUAUGGUUUUUUUUUUUUUAAAUUAUCCAUUUUAUUAAUUUGUUUUGUUAAAUUAGUGACAAAGUUAAAAUUCAAGGUACUAAAGUGAAUAUUCGAUAAACCUAGAUAGGGUAUCUAAAAUUUUUUGUAUAUAAUUUAACAAAAUAUUAACGGAGAAAGAAAAGUGACAAAGUUAAAACUAAAGGAUACUAAAGUAAAUAUUCGAUAAAUCUAGGUGGGUAUCUAAAGUUUUUUGUAUAUAAUAAUUUAACGAAAAUAUUAACAGAGAAGCCGAAGAAAAGAUAAAAGUGAAAUCACAGGGUGCUAAAUUGAUGCACUUUAAACCACAGGGUACUAAGGUGAGAAAGUGUGAAACCACAUUGUACUAAAUUGAUACAUUUUAAACCACAAAGUACUAAAGUAAAAAAGUGCGAAACCACAACGGUGAUAUUUAAAAUUUUUCCUUUUCUUAUUUAGGAAAAACUACCAACCACCCCCGCCAGGUUUCGUACUUUCUCACUUUAGUGCCCUGUGGUUUAAAGUGUAUCAAUUUGGUGCCCUAUGGUUUCAAUUUUAUCUUUUCGACAAUUUUUUUCGUUAAUAUUUCAUUAAAUUAUAUACAAAAAACUUCAGUACUCAUCUAAAUUUAUCGAAUAUUCAUUUUAGUAUCCUUUAAUUUUAACUUUGUCACUGAUUUAAGAAAAAAAAUAGUAAAAUUGAUAAUAAAAAGAGAAAAUGAAACCACAUGGCAUCAAAUUGAUACACUUUAAACUAUAGGGUACUAAAAUGAGAAAGUAUGAAACCACAUGGGGUUUUUUGAAGUUUUCCUUUUAUUUAUUAU